CACAACUUUUUGAAGGAGGGGAUAUGCAAACAUGUCAUGUCAUCCUCACCGGUGGUGAAGUCAUACGUUAUCGGCCCACAAGGCUACAUUCCUUGAGACUGUCACUUGGUUUUAAAGGACAAGAAUAUUUAUUUUCUCUCUCUCUCUCUCUCGCUCUCUCACUCUCUCUCUCUCUUUCUCUCUCUCUCUCUCUCCUCUCUUGCUCUCUCUCUGUCCUCUAUCUAUCUGUCUUCUCUCUCUCUCUCUCUGUCUCUCUCUCACUCUAUCUGUCUCUCUCUGUCUUCUAUCUAUCUCUAUAUCUCUAUCUCUAUCUCACUCUCACUCUCUUUAUCUGUCUCUCUGUGCAUCUUAGUGCGCUCUGUCUAUCUGUUGACCCUGGGUUUCCUAGACAGUAGAGGAUUCUUGGGCAAGCAGCAUGGUUUGAGGUUUGAUGCUGUCUUCUGGGUGAAGCAGGGACGCAAUGACAGACAUCAAUGGGUGUAUUUUUCCCACGAGCAAAAUCAGUUGCACUUUUCGUCAGCUGUCUGUAAGUUGGUACAUAUGGAUAUAUGGUCCACUGUAUAGGCCUAAUGUGUGUCGGUGUAUGGACUUAUGGUCCCCUGUAUAGGCCUACUGUGUGUGUGUGUGUAUGGACUUAUGGUCCACUGUAUAGGCCUACUGUGUGUGUGUGUGUGUAUGAAGUUGUAAACAAUCAACAUUUAUUGGGUAUAAGCAUGAAUUGUUUCUAUAAAUUGUUUAUUAAGACUAUUUGUGACCCUGGGUGAGAUGGAAUACGGAAUAUAAAACCUAUUUGAUCUUAGUGUCAGUGUAGCAGAUUGAGCACAACCAGAGUCAACAAGAUUACAUUGGACAAUCAACUCCACUACAGUACAGAACAGUAUAAGAACCUUAUAUAACAAAGCCUACAGUACACCACUUUUUCUCUAACUUUAGGUCAAAGUAGGACAGGAGAAGGAGAAAGUGAAGGUACAACGAGAAUCAGUCAUACAUCUUUAUCUCUCUC
rnacentral:lncRNA from 1 species